CUUCUCUUCUUUGUUGUUUUCCUCUGCUAACGCGAUGGCUAGUGAAGUGAUGAUGAUUCUUCGAAACGAACGCGCGCGUAUUUGAGAGUUUCUGAAGCGAUCAUUGUUCCUACUUCUGGGUUCUCAUUGGUGUUAUUGGAAGCGUAUUAUGACCUAAUUAUCGCUUUCGACUAUGAAAUCUCAACUUCUAGGAUUGGUGGAGGAUACUAUCUAUGAACGAUCGGUGAUUGAAGAGAUCUAUCGGUUGAUUGAUCGACCACUCGAUUUUUGUGGAGGAGGAUGCUUUCAUAAUCGCUCGGUGAUGGUUUCGAUGGAUCGUUUUGUCUUCUCUGGGAUACAUAUCUGCUGGUUCGUGGAGUGUAGAAGCUACUGAGAAAUUCCAAAGGGAGUCUGGACCAACCAAACCUUGAGGAAGACGACGAAGUAAUGGAUUAGAUAUCUUGAUUGGAGCCACAAUCGGUUUUGUUGCAUGAGGCUCAUGGAUUGUCAAAUUUUCUCAAGACUACCUGAGAAAGGUAUCGGUGGACAUGAUGACGACUAGCUUAAAGCGCAACACCAUUUAUGGUUCAAACACGAAAGGGAAAGAGAUUUCUUUGGGAUGCUUGCCAUGAUCUCACUUUGGUCAUUUUGAUGGUUGCUGCAGUAGCGUCUUUAUCACUUGGGAUAAAAUACAGAGGGUAUCAAAGAAGGAUGGUAUGAUGAAGGGAGCAUUGCAUUUGCAGUGAUUCUUGUCACAGCUCUCAGUGACUACAAACAGCCUCUCCAGCCUCAUAACCUGAAUGAUGAAUAGAGAAAUAUACAUCUGGAGGUAUAGAUUUGCACCAAUGUGACAAGAGGUGGAAGACGAGUGAAAAUCUCAAUCUAUGACAUUGUGGUGGGUUAUGUCACACCUCUCGACAUUGGCAAUCAGGUUCCUGCGGAUGGAGUGCUAAUAUUUGCAUACUGGAGAGAGCAAAAUGGUUAACAAAGACUCUAACAAGGACCCUUUCCUAAUGACUGGCUGUAAAGUGGCAGCUUGAAAUGGUGUUAUGCUGGCUACUGGUGUUGGAGUCAACAAUGAAUGGGGAUUGCUGAUGGCCUGAAUUUCUGAAGACAAUGGUGAAGAAACUCCCUUGCAGGUGCGCUUAAUUGGGGUAGCUGUUAUAUGUAUGCUCUUUUCUUAUGUGGAUCGAUCCUUUGAGCACUCAGUGAUGGCUUUGAUGGAUUGUUGUGUUCUCUCUGUUCUGUCUCUACGCUGCUUCUUCUUCCUCUAAUUUUUGUUUUCUUACUUACGAUUCUUCUGUGUUCUUCCUCUGGUUUUUGUUUUCUACUUACGUUUCUUCUUCCGUCUUGCAGAUGUUUUGGAAGCGAAUCAUUAUCAGAUCAUAUCUUUCGAUCCUGCAAUUUCACCUUCUUCUAGGAUUGUGGAGGAUAAUACUAUUGAUCGAUUUGUGAUUGAGGAGGAGGGAACUAAGAUCUUUCGGUUUUCUUUCUUUUUUCUCUCAGGUUGGUGAGAACCCAACAACGUCUGGCUGAGGAGAUUUUGGAAUUACUCCUGAACAGCUUGUCAUAUUGUUGUCAUAGGAUCACAAUAUGGAGGGGCCUCAAGGAUUGUCAUAUUUUCUCAGGACUACCAGAGAAAGGCAUCAGUGGAGAUAAUGAUGAUGAUUUGCUAAAGCGCAAGACCAUAUAUGGUUUCUGAUGUUCCUUUCGGAUUCUUGCCAUGAUUUCACUUUGAUGGUUGCUUUCGGAAUCAGGUUCCUGCGGAUGGAGUGCUAAUACUUGGGAGGAUGACUGGAGAGAACAAAAUCGUGUUAACAAAGAAGACCCUUGGCAGAUGGAAAUGGUGUUAUGCUGGUUACUGAUGUUGGAGACUUGGAGUCAAUGAAUGGGGAUUGCCAAUAGCCUGAAUUUCUGAAGACAGUGGUGAAGAAACUCCCUUGCAGGUGCGCUUAAUUGGGGUAGCUACCUUUAUUGGUUCCAUUGACUUGGCAUUCGCUGCUACUGUGCUAGUGAUUCUUCUGACUCGAUAUUUCACCGGUCACACUAAGAUGUAGGUGGAUGUCGUCAAUUUGUUAAAGGAAAGACAAAAACUGGUCAUGUAGUUGAUGAUGUGAUCAAAGUUGUUACCGUAGCGCCUGCAGAUUACAAUUGUCGUAGUGGCAGUUCCUGAGGGUCUUCCAUUGGCUGUUACUCUAACCCUUGCCUAUUCAGUGAGGAAAGUGAUGGCAGAUAAGGCUUUGGUGCGGAGGCUAUCUACUUGUGAGACAAUGGGUUCUGCCACCACUAUUUGCAGCGAUAAAACUGGAAGACUAACGUUAAAUCAGGAUAUGUAGAGUUGCUGAGAAAUUCCAAAGGGAGUCUGCUAAGUCUGAGCUCCCCUGAUGCACAAGGUGGUUUAUUCAGAUCGUUGUCGAGUCGAGGCACUGGGACUGCUCUGUUGACUUAUCUUCUCGUUUAUCAUCAUCUGUUUAGGCAGGUUUCUUCUGAUAUCUCGUUUUACAUCUUAUUCUUCUUCUUUUUUUCCCUAAUGAUUUUCUGAGAUUUGCUAUUGUUGGUGACGAAUGAUUUGAUCUCCUGUGUCUUAUUGUGUUUUCCAGAUUCUCUUGCUUUUGUUGGUAUACUUUCGAUAUGUUUGUUCGUAACAUAACUCUGCUUUGUUUUUGUCUUUAUCUCUGUUGGUGUUAUCUUUCAUGCUACAUCAAUUUUUAGUGUCUGUCUCUGAUCCUACUCUCACAUGCUUGUUACGGUGGUUUAAUGUGAAGUGCUACCUUUCUUUAUAGGUCUAUAUUGAGGAGGCUAGUUCUAUUCUGUCUCGGUUUAUAUUGAAAGAUGUCUUUGAUCUCGUGGUUUCCUGUUACCCCCUUUGUUUUAUGUUUAGGGUUUUUAAUUUCCAUAUUAGAUGUUUUUGUUUUCUAAUUUUUUGAGAAAUUUCGAUUUAGAUUGUAGAGGUUCAAGGCAUUUUGGGAGGGAAGGAUCGCUUGUGUGUUUCUGGUUACUUCGCAUCUAUACAUUCUUUUAUUUGAUAUACUGACUAUUUGUUGGUGAGGUAUGAUUGUUCCGCUGUGUCUGUGUUUCCCAGAUUUUCUUCACCAAUUACUUGACUAUCAGUUCUUGUUUCUCUUCUGUGUACACAUGAAAAAGAUAAUAAAUUUCUCCUAAACAGGUUUGUUCUUAUGCUGUCCUUUUAUGUAGUAUUUGUAUUGAACUUUGAAAAUGUCUUGUCCUUUUGCCUAGUAUUUGUUCUUAUGUCUUGGCUUCCUGAAUUUUGAACUGGGCCAUCGGGGAGUUUUCAACAUGAUUUGGCUUGUUAUUAGAUGUCUCAGGUAAUGUUGUUAAUCUUCCUAGUGAUGUUGGCAUUUCUGUGAAGUUCUCCCCUUCUAGGUAUGGUGAGGAUAUAGAGGAGGCCAGUUCUAUUUUGAUUUAUUUUUUGCGAAGGAUGGCUUUUAAUCUACAGUCUUCUUUGUAACCUCCUUGGUGGUUUCUUCCCUUGUCCUUGGAGAUUUGAUUAGUUUUUCUCCCCCUUCUCUUUUUGAUUUUCUGAUUUUAUGAUCUGCAUUUUUUAUAGGGUUUAGUGGCUUAUCACUUCUGCUUCGCAUGGUGUUUUCUCUUUCUAUAUGAAUUCAUAUUUUUGGAUGAUGAAAUUAGAGGUUUUGUUUCGACCUGUUUGCUUAGGUUUCCAUGUAUUUGUGCAUCGGGAGUUUUGUGUCUACAACUUGGAGCCUCCAUCAUUGGUUGAUUCAGUUUAUUGGGUAUCCAAGAGGCUUGAGUUGCUCACUGGUUGCCUCAAGGACUGUAUCAUUUGUCUACUCGUAGUCAGAUGAGAGACGAUCAUAAAUUCCUUUUAAAUGGGUUUGUAAGUAUUGUUUUGUUCUUUUCAUGAUGGUUAUGUCUACCAAAAUAGUUUCCGUAUUGAACAUCUUCAAGUCUUUUAGGACUGUUCAAGUCUGAGCUACUCUUAUGCAGAAAGCUGCUUGGAUCUUCUGCAAUCUGUUGAUUCACCUUUCUGGAUUUUGAAGUGUGUUCCGCUUAUUGAGAUCUUCUACUAAGUCUUUAUCAUAGAUAUUUCAGGUUACUACUUGGUCUCUUAUCUGUUUAUCCAUUUUGGUGUGCUACAUCGAUUCCUAGUUUUUUUUGUUUAAUCCUAAUUGCAUAUGCUUGUGAUUGUAGAUUCUCUUUAUAUGAAUUACUUCCCUUGAAUAUAGGUAUGUUAGUAUGGGCGCAAAGGAGGAAUUCUCCAUUUAUAUAGAUUCAUGUUGUGUUUUUUGUCUUUUUUUUGUUUUCGUUAUGUGAUCUGUUUUCCUUCUCCUUAUCUGUUUAUGCCUUUCUGAUUUCGUAGUCUGCAUAUGUUCUAUGGUUAAUGCAUAUGAAGUCAGUAUUUUGCAUAGGAGUUUGGAUGUUACAAAGUGGAGGUUCUGAUUCGUUCUGAUUCGUCCUGCUCUAAUAGAGGACAGAUGUGUUGAUGAAAAAAGAUGGCAACGAAAGUCUACAAGGCAAGAACCAAUUCUAGAUAGCAAAGACAUUAAUUACUUACCUCAUUAACAUCUGGAAUCCGCAAAGUAAACACAAAAUGACUUGUAGAUGAUUUCUCAUUCUUUUGAUUCCUUCCUACUGAACCUGCAAAAAGAGAAUUCACCCAAUGAUUGGUAAAUCGACAGAGACUAAUUUAUUUCUUA